ensembl:snoRNA SNORA70 Small nucleolar RNA SNORA70
AUGCACCCCAAAGUUGAGGACAGCCGUGGCUGCAAAUAGCAGCCUUCUUGGUAGUGUAUUCAGUCUGUUGUUGAACAGGUUGCCCUAAGGGACCUUGGAGACAGCU